ACUCUCCUGAACGCGCUCGAAGUACACACACAAUGCCCCUUCUAUUGACGUACACACACUACACCCUAAAAUUCACAGCCCCAGUCGGUCCCACAAGUUUGAAACAGGAGGAAGGAGAAAAAGAGAAGGAUUGCGGAAGAAACAACGUCCAUCUCUCUCACACAUCACUGUGGUCCUUGCUUCCAGGCAGCUCACUCGUCCACCAAAUGUUAAAAUCAGAUUUCUCCUCUCAUCUCAGCAAAGUGGCCAGCGGCACAAGAGGCGGACAAGAGGCUUACUCUUUUUAUUGUGAGGAAUGGGAUUUUUUUUUUUCUUGAAUGAGAAAAGAAUAAAUUUCAGUUACUCGGAAGGAUAGGAACAGAUCAGAUGCCAGAAGAGAAUAGCUAAUACCUCACGAGGAUAACACGCCUGGAGACCCACAGUCUGGAGUGGUUGUGACUGAAAUACAGAGACACCUGACAGAAAUGAUGUUCCAUCACACUGGCUUUCUCUCCUGUCUGGGCCUG